UUGUAUCCCUUUCCCUCUCAGACACUCUCUAACCCUUUAUCUCUCUAGAACUUUCUGGUUCUCUCAUGGCCUUCGUCGUCAUACCACCUCUUUCCUCUCGAUUUCCAGCAACCAUGGAAUCCCUAUGUCGUGGUUUCCUCUCUCAAGCUUGAAGCCUAGCAGCUUCUGCCAUGGAAGACGGUCAUUAAAGCUCUACUUGGGGUCUGUUUCCGAUUUUUCUCCGGUGGUCUUUUGAACAAUGAUUCUUUCUAUGUCAUUGUAUACGAGUUUCACAGCCAGGUUUUUCAUUUCCCUAAUCUGUUUGAAAACCCUAAUUUUUCUUUUUAAUAUCUACUCUUUUAAAUAACUUUUAGUUUGAUUUUUGUUUUCUACUCUAUUUCUACUUAGCUUCUCUGGUGUUUUCAAAUUUUUUGAUGAUU
rnacentral:lncRNA from 1 species